GACGAACGCUGGCGGCGUGCUUAACACAUGCAAGUCGAACGGAAAGGCCCUGCUUUUGUGGGGUGCUCGAGUGGCGGACGGGUGAGUAACACGUGAGUAACCUGCCCUUGACUUUGGGAUAACUUCAGGAAACUGGGGCUAAUACCGGAUAGGAGCUCCUGCUGCAUGGUGGGGGUUGGAAAGUUUCGGCGGUUGGGGAUGGACUCGCGGCUUAUCAGCUUGUUGGUGGGGUAGUGGCUUUCCAAGGCUUUGACGGGUAGCCGGCCUGAGAGGGUGACCGGCCACAUUGGGACUGAGAUACGGCCCAGACUCCUACGGGAGGCAGCAGUGGGGAAUAUUGCACAAUGGGCGGAAGCCUGAUGCAGCAACGCCGCGUGCGGGAUGACGGCCUUCGGGUUGUAAACCGCUUUCGCCUGUGACGAAGCGUGAGUGACGGUAAUGGGUAAAGAAGCACCGGCUAACUACGUG
rnacentral:rRNA from 1 species